GUCCGCCUGUGUUUUGAGGGUGCCCUGGAAAGGGGAAGCAUCUGACCUUGGUCAGCUUCUAGCCCUGCGGCGGGGGAGCUGCCCCGGGCCUGCCCCACGUGCCGCCUCCUGGGGGAGUAGCAGCCAGGCUGGGGUGCCUUUGUGCUGGGAGAGGGGAGCCCCCAGCCCUCGGGGCCGCUCUGCUGCCGCUUGUGAAUAAGGGGGAGCCUCCUCUGCUUUUCUUGCCUGGAGGUCUCCAGCUUUGGAGGUGGGAAUUAGACCCUGCUCUUGCUGCGCUGGUCUCCUCCGGGCUGUAGUGGGUGUUUGAAGAACCCUAAAAUGAGCAAAGGGGAGGUGAGGAAGAGGCAGAAUUGAGUGCAGGGAGCAGGGGCAUGUGGAUGCUGGGUUGAUACUGGGGUUAAGAGAUCAGGGUUGAUUUUGGAGGAGCAGUAUUAUUUAGGUGACAAGACUAUUACAGGCCCAAGAGCUUCUGUAGUGUUCAAAAAGUCAACGUUAUUUUUUUCAGUGCAUCUGGGAGCCUGAGGGAUGCUAAUUGGGACAUGUGCUAGGACUGAGCGUGCCACUUAAAAAUGAGAGAUCAACAGGUUACCUACCUACCAGCAGGCUACCUACCUACCUGUACAUAAAUACUGUGACUUUCAGGAGUGCAACUAUGAUUUUUAAAUCUCUUCAGCAGAUCUGACUCCUGAUUUUUGUUGUCUUGCAGCUGCCAGUACCAAGCUAUUUAAUUUUGCCACUAGGAGUUUUGUGGGUUUGGGGCCUAAAUUUACUAUGAUGUGACAAGUGAGGGUUACAAAUGAACAAAGCUACUAUUUGUGAGUUAAUACAAGUUGCAUAUUGCUCCUUGUGCCAAAGCAGGUGUAAAAAAAGUGGUGGAUAUUGUAAACGAUCUCCAAAAAAGAAUGGAAGUAAAAGAAACAGGUGGUUUUUUGUUUUUUUAAAAAGCUUCAAAAUAAUUGUGAUCUACUCUCAGUCCCUAGUUUACAGCAUUUUCUUAGUAGAUGUCAGCUCUGAACAUGGACAAUGAACUAAGGAAAUCAAGAUGUCUAUUGUAGUAAUUAAACCAUUUGAUCAGAUGGUGGAAAGUGUCUACAUUGUGUGAUUAAGAUAAAAAGCUUUUCAGUCUGCUCACUGGCAUGGUCCCUGCCCCAGACAGCUUGCUAUUAGACUAUCUCUUUAGCAUGCAUUUAUGCAGCGCCUCGUCUGAUGGGAUCCUGGCACAAGAUUGUGACACUUAAGUGCUGCUGAGAGGCUACUAAUAAUGACAUUUAAUACAUUAUCCAGGAAAGGGAUGUCAACAGAAUGGCCCAUCUGCCAAAUUCAGCCUGUUUGAUGCAUUUAUAUGGACAGCAGGACCUAGCCCCAGCUUUCUUUUAAAAGAAAAUAAAAGAAGAAGGGUAAUUUCUUUUUAAAAGAAGUUUGUUUCUAGCCUUCACUUUGGAAGAAAUAUUUCUGAACGGAGCAGACGAAGCGAAGCCGCUUUGCAUCUGCAGGCAGUAAUUCUGACGACAAGUCGGCUGUGUGAACUCCUUGCCUCCAUUUAUCUGAUUGGAGUGUCACAUUUAAAGUCCAGUGUUGAUAGCUCACUGUCAGCGUUAACUCUUUUAUUGCUGAUUAUUUUAGUGAAAUGCACAUUGAGCCACUGUAGGGAAGAAAGCACAAAGGGAAGAACAAAGGAAGCACAAGCAGGGUAGAGGGAGAAAGAGGGAGACAAAAAAAAUGGAGAAGGAAGAGAAAUACUGGGCAGAGAUAGAGAACCAUAUAGGGGAGCAGAUUUUUCUCACUGGAUGUGACAAUAAGGUCCUGAAUAAACAAGAUGUAACAGCUGGGAUAUCACAAGGCUAGGGUCUUUCCUUGAUCCCCCAACAAACCUCCCUGUGACACUGGUAAAGGAUUAUUGUGGAUUUAGGGGAGUAUGACAUUCUGACUUUAUAUCCUAGCUCAUGAAUCCUAAUUUAAAUGUGAUGUUUGGUUCUCUGUACUGUAUUCUCUCAGCACAUGUUUUCUGUGUACAUCUCUCAGAUCAUCCUUGAGGUCUUAUAUUUUUCUUUUUACUGAGGUAUCUGGGAGAAUGUGUUUUCUUUAAAGGAUAUUUGCAUGUCCAUUUGUCUUUGCAAAAAUAGCAUUUUGCUCCUGGGUGAGACUUUUCCAUCUAAAUGGAUAACAGAAUGAACAAAAAAAGCUGAGGAGUUUAAGUGCCAUGAAGAUAUACAGGGAGGCAGUUUUAUAACAAUGAGAGUAUUUCUAAGCAUACUUCAUAAUUUAUGAAGUCAUAAAUCACUUGAUCACAGAUGGUAAAGCACAGCUUUUCUAAGUGCUUGAGGGCCUCUUAUUAUUCUAGGAGCACCUGAUGUGCAUGAAACAGUUUUAAAAACACUUGGAACAUUAAAAUGUGCUUCGAAUCCAGCUUGAGGAGUCGAUUUUAUGACCAUGUUAAGACUGCUCAGCUCCGAAUCUCACCCUGUAAAGAAGAAAGAAUCUUCCCAUUAUAUGAUUACUCCUAAUCCUAUUAACACAAUAAAUUGAGUUACUGUGAAUAACUCUACGGCUAAUCUCCAGUACGUAGGGCCUGCAUCUGUAGCGGCUUGGCAAAAUGUGUUCCUCAAAGCUUACAUUACCUGUUAUAACCACGUAUUUUUAUUAGGACUAUCAGUCACAGUUAAUGUAAACAACACAUUAAUCGUUCACGUUUAAUUUUUUUAACGUGUUAAUCGUGUACAUGGUUUUGGAGCCUGUGCCCGGGCUUUGCUCCCCUGCUGUCACCGCCACCACCGGGCUGCCUCGCUGGGCAGUGGUGGUAGCACAGGGUACCACAAGGCAGCCAGGGCACAGGCUCAGGGCUGCUGGAGCAGGGGCAGGAAGGGUGUGCACCGACACAGACACAGAUGAGCAGCUGAGGCCUGCAUGGGGGGCCACUCCCACCACUGUGUGCUGGGCUCAGUGGCAACAGGGUGCAGAGCCCAGCACAGUGACAGCCCACCUCCACCCCAUGCACGAGUCCAGGGGGCACAUGCCCCCCCAAGCCUCCCGCGGGGGUGCUCAUAGUGGUGGAAGUCGCCCCCCCCCCGCCCCUGGACGAGCCUCUCGCAGCUCCAUCUCAUGACCGGCCCCAGCCCCAGGGUCCCAUUCACCCUUGCCCCUGCUCCUGCCCCACUCCCUCCCUCACCAUGGAGACCUUGAUCUGCCCCGCCACACCCCUUUCCUCCCCCACUCUUACCUGCUAGGCAGUGUCUAUAUGUGUGUAUGCCCCUCACUCCCAAGCCACAGCCCCCCCUGCCCUGCUGCUGCCCCUUAUUCCUGACCCACAGUAUCUCACAUCCUGCCAGGGUGUGUGGGAACCCCCUGUCCCCAGGCUUCAAACCCCCCACACACACACCCUCCACCCCCACCCCCCAACCAUACAAAGUACCUGCAUUAUUUUUACAUACCUUUAGUUUUUCUGUGCGUAAUUUUGAGUUUUUUAGCUGUGCGAUUAAAAUUGUGAUUAAUUGCAACUAAUUUUUUUAAUCGCACAACUAAUCAUGAUCAAAUUUUUUAAUUGUUUGACAGCCCUAAUUUUUAUGUCUCUUUAAAUUAAUAUAAAAAUAGGGCCUUGCAGAACUGGAAAUGCUGAGGCAAGUAUAGUUACAAACAACUAUCACUAUGCCACUUCAAACUGCUGUCAAGUUAAUAUCAAUGAAAGUAAAAAACAACAUUGUGAUGCUUCACUUUUGAAACUGGAGCCAGUGAUGCAUCAUGUAACAAUCCUGUUUUCACUUCCUGGUUUAGGUCCUGAUCCUGUUUCUACAGAAGUUUUGCCAUUAACUGCAUUGGAACAGAGCCUCGCAGUGUUAUAUCGCAUUUGUGGGCAACACGAUAUUUUGAAACUGUGAAAUGUUCCUGCAAGUAUUUGCUCCUCAGAAGGUGACUUAUGACUUGACAGAAGCCCUGGAGUCAUGGACCAUUCAAAUAAUGUUUUUUUGAAAUGUGAUAGACUCUAUGGAAUUUUUAGAGACAAAAGUAUUGACUACAGGGUGUCCUCAACUUACAAAGUUUCGAGUUACAACACUUCACGCUUACAAUGUUUAUAAAUUGACACCUUGUUUCAACUUUCUGACAUCAGUUUUGACUUUACAAUGCUUGAUCUGUCGCGACACCACACCAGCGAACAAGUUCACUGCAUCACCCAUCUCCCUGGAGAACAUCUGUCCAGAUUUCCGUGGACACUUUCUUUAAGAAAACAGCCGAGACUCCAGAAAAACCUGCAGCCAAGACUCCUGAGAAGACUCCAGCCAAGAACCCUUCAAAAAGUCCAACCAAGAGCCCUUCAAAAAGUCUAGUGAUGUCAUGUAAAAAAAAGUCCUUCCAAAUCAAUAUAAUUGCUAUCUACAAUAUAAAUGCAUUGAUGUAGUUAUGUUACUCAUCUAUAAUUGAUUGAGUACAAAAUUCUGGGUUAUUUUGGUGAAAAUAGGGUAUCAAGCCUUGGUUCAGGAACCAAUCCCCCAUUUAUAACAUUCUUUCCUAUGGGAAAUUUGAUUCCAAGUUACAACGUUUCGACUUAAGACGCAGUUUUCAGGAACCAAUUGUGUCGUAAAUCCGAGGACUGCCUGUAUAUGCAAUGUGUAUACGGAUCGUUAUGGUCUCAUUAGGAAUCCUGUUCCUGGCUAGACUGGUAAAAUAAAGGAUGCUUCAUCUAGAAACUAAAGACAAUGCUUAUCCCUUUUGCCGAAACAAUGCAGCUGACAAGUCUUGAAGCUUCUCCUCCCUGGGGAAGAGGGAUGCAGACUGACUCAACCAAGUUCAAAGGAGACAAAGCACUUGAAACUGUGUGAAAUAACAGCCCCUGACCUGCAAGACAGAGACAUUAUCUGAAAACUGACAGGCGUGAGACUGAGAGAAACAAAAAUGGGCCCUGUGGGAGGGUACGGAGCACUGCAGACUUGCCAGGGUCUCCAUGUGGAAGAUGGGUGAACACCUGGUAAGCUAGAUGUGUACAAGCUGCCUAUUGUUGUGUGUGCUGUUUUCUCUGAAGGCCUCUGUUCCAAAUAACUAAUACUUUGCUUUAUGAAAGCUGUCUGCUCACUGGUUAACACUAUUCUUGUCCUUUAGAGAAAAGAUUUGCAGGUGCUGAACUGAAGUCAGACCAGCUGAGGCACUUACAAUGAAAGUACUGAGGAAUUGCUGCCUAGGUGCCUGGUCUGGAGGGUGAGAAAGCAGGAUCUUUCCUUGAAAAAGGUGACAGGUCUCCAGGUGCCACCUAAAUGGGGGUGCCCUAAGGUGACCAUAAGGGAAUCUAAGGUGCAGUUUGCAUAGGAACCAUGAUCUUUAUUCCAUUGGAAAUACUUUCAUCCUAAUCCUGUAUCAGUACAGUCCAACAUAAUAUUACCUACCUUCUCCACAAGCAUUAAUACAGGAAAAUUACUUUCAGCAGAUACAUACGUAUGCACUCACUCUCAAGUCUGGUCAGUUUUAGUUUUGUUUAGCAAGAUGAUCAAAUGAACAUACAGAGAAGCAGGUAAUCAGAUUCAUGACUCUCUUUUAUUGCAGGUUUUGCUUUUGAUUACAGAUCAAAUGGUGUAAGCAAUACUCUCAUCUAUUGUCACAGACAGAUACACUAGUGAUGUUAGGAACAAACAACAGAUCAGAUCUUAUUUUUUUGUUGUGUGAAUCUAUUUUUCUGUGCAUUUAGAUUUCAGCAGAUUUCCCUUGGAAUAUAUUGAUCCUCUGAGCAGUUCUAAGUAUCUACAGUUUUAUCCCUACAAUUGUAUGCAGGUGUAAAUAAACUUAGUUACAUGUCUAGUACUGGAUUGAGCCCACAGUAGUUAUCUAACUGACUUUGCUGGAAUCUGUCCAUAAUUGCAGCUGCAAAACAGGAGACCAUAUUUUAAAAAAUCUAAUCUGAUGUUUGAAAAUCUUGAACAGAAGAUCUAAGUAAGGCAUGAGUGUACAUGAACUUGCAACAUAUUAGCUGUUUUUAAUUAAAAUACAUGCACAUACUUAGAUUACAAAUGUCAUUCUGAAGAAGUUGAAGGACUCUGCCUUGUUUAACUCUGCCUUGUUAAAACAUUCUUCCCUGCCCUAAAGAAAUGUACUUGGUGUUAGUCCUAUCAAGAUUUUGAAUGGCAAGUUUCUGUAUUUUUAUACUGAUUAGCUAUCAAAAUUCAGCUAAUCUUUUCCUGACUUGUGUUGUGUAAUUGUUCUUACUAUGUGUUGUAGUUAAAAGUAGCUAAGACUACUUUUAGCAGACCUUCUUCUUUAGUUGGUCUUUUGGUAGAAGCGUUUUAAAAAAUAAAAUAAAAAAUUAUGGGGGGCAA